AUGAGCACCAGCAGGCAAAACACUCAUAACAAUCACAUUAUUAGCUUCUAUACCAUAGUAAAGCAUUCUCCUAAAAUAAAGAAUGUACUCCCUAUACUUCUCAUUAUUAACGCAAGCCAAAAACCAUCGCGCUCCACAAUACCACAUCCUUAAUGCAGUAUCUUAUCAAAUAACUUCCACGCAAUUCCAAUAUCAAAUAUGGAAUAAAAGCCAAGAAGUGUAAAU
rnacentral:misc_RNA from 1 species